rnacentral:rRNA from 1 species
GAUAAAACGCUGGCGGCGCACAUAAGACAUGCAAGUCGAACGGACUUAACCAUUAGUUUACUAUUGGAGCGGUUAGUGGCGGACUGGUGAGUAACGCGUAAGCAAUCUGCCUAUCAGAGGGGAAUAACAGUGAGAAAUCAUUGCUAAUACCGCAUAAGCUGUGAGUAUCGCAUGAUACAAAUAGAAAAGGAGCAAUCCGCUGAUAGAUGAGCUUGCGUCUGAUUAGUUAGUUGGUGAGGUAACGGCCCACCAAGACGAUGAUCAGUAGCCGGACUGAGAGGUUGAACGGCCACAUUGGGACUGAGAUACGGCCAG